rnacentral:rRNA from 1 species
ACCAUAGAGCAUUGGACCCACCUUCUCCCAUCCCGAACUCCGCUGUGAACCGAUGUCUCGCCGAUGGUAGUGUGGGGUUACCGCAUGUGCGAGUAGGUCAUCGUCAAGA